rnacentral:lncRNA from 1 species
UCAUUUCUAUAGAUCGCUGUACUUCUCAUUAGCUUACCACUUUUGGAUAAAGGUUUAGGGCUGUGAGUUUUGCUCAGUGGUAAUAGUCCUUACCUAGCAUAUGAAUAGCUAGUUUUCAUUUCCUGCAGUGGACAGACCAUAUAUAGCAAUUUAUUUUCUCACACAUGCAAGAAUAACAGCAUGGGAGCUAGUGAAAUGGUUCAGAGGGCAAAGCUCUUUCCCUGCAAACACGAGAACCAGAGUUUGCUUUCUCAGAACCCAUCUAAGUGCAGGUGGCUGUGGGGGCAGGCCGCCUGUAACCCCAAGGCUUGGGAAGUAAGAGGGGAGUCCUCAGGCUAUCUGAGUAGUUAGGUUACUUGAAUCUACGAGCUUCGGGCUCAGCAAGAGACCCUGCUUCAGUGAAUAAAAUGGAAAGUGCUUAGGGAAGCCUAAUAUUACUUUCUGGUUUCCACAUGCCACCUGCAAAUGUGGAAACACCAACAUGCACAUGCACACACAUGAACACAAAAUAACAGCAUGCUUGGCUUCUGGAGUAGACUCUUCCUGGCAUGCAGUCGCUUUCAUAUGACAAAGUCUGAAAAUGAGGAUUUUUUUUUUCCCUCUACUCAUACAAAUCGCAGCAUUGUGGAAUGACGUUUCCACUCAUUGUCCUGGACUAUCAAAUGAAAUUCUAAAGACCCUAUCUGAACAGUCAUGCUGAGCUUUAGAUUUAACAUGAAUUUGAGAGGGUCAUAGAUUCUUUUGGUUUCCUAGACAGGUAAUGAUAUUUGUAGAUAAUGAUGUUAUUUUUUUUUUUCUAUUUUAGUUGUUUCCUUACAUAAAUUAGUAUGAUGUCCAGCACACUAGUGAAAGUAGUAAAAGCAUAUUUUUCUUUAGAAUUAUAAUGAGGUAUGCUCUCCAUUAUACUGAUUUGCUUAUUAGGAUAGAGGGUUUUUUUAAUAUCUGGAUUUUGCAUAAUGGUUUUAUAGUAUUUCUUUCUUUGUGAGGCAAAAUUCCUCUUGGAUUCAUUAAUUGCUUUCCCUGUAUCCUCUGAGAUGACUAUCCUCAUUGGCUGGUAGCACUCAAGUAUCUAGGAUUUCAUUGUUCCAUAAUAAUAAAUACUGGAAUGACUAAAAGGACUCCAAAAUAAAGCAGUCAUUUAUUAAUGAUUAUAUAUUAUUUGUUUUCUGAUGUUAACUUUAAAUUCUUAGAUACAUUCAACUUGGACAUUAAGGUUCAUUUUUGUUUUGUGUGAUUGCUGAGGAUCAAACAAGCCCAGCUGAGGCAAGCACUCUGCCACUGAGCUAUAAUCUUGAGCCCAGUGGAUCGAUUCUACUACUUCAUGUUGUUUAUGCUUGCUCACAUAAAGACUACCAUAGAUAUUCUUGAGUAGCAUUGGCAUAGAACUUUUCCUUAUAUGUGAAGAAAUGGAGUAGGGAUAAGAAGAGUGCCUGUUUAGCAAUGCACAAGGCUGUGGUUUCAGUCCUCAGCGCCACCAAAACAGCCAGAUGUAAAACGAACUGACUGGUUUUAGCUGUAGAUUAGAACAGUGUCAUACACUGCAGUGAAUGUAUUCCUCUCCUGUCCUAAUUCUAAACCUGUUCAGGUAUCCUGAUUUAGAAUAAUUGACACUGUUUUAGGUACCCGUUUUCUAUUACCUUAAACUAUUCAGUAUCUUUUAUGUUUAUAGGACACCUAAGAUUUACAGUAUCAUUUAAAUUUUUUGAGUAUAUUUUUCUAGGCAUGCUUUCAUUUUCACAUAUGAAAUUUAUUUUUUCUUGUAUUCCUGAUGUUUCAUGGUUGCAUAAUUAACUAACUUUGGGUCUGCCUUGUAUUUCAAUCUGCAAUAAUUUCUCCUUGUAUUUAAAUUGAGUUAAUCCUCAGUCAGUAUUCUUUUGGAGAGUAUUUGUCUCAAACUACAGCAUGUUGCCUCACACUGUAAUCUUAGGGGUUGGGAAGCCAAGGCAGGAGGAUCACAGAUUUAAGGGGAGCCUGAGCCUGGGCUAUUUUGUGAGACACUGUCUUAAGAAGACAAAAAUAAAAAAAUAAGACAAGACAAAUGUGCCCAGGGAGGAGUUGGGGCCUGGUAAAUAAUCUGGGAGGGAAAAAAAUUUUGUCUUGAAAUACUUAACUUUCCAAUAUAGUUUUUAUUUCAUUGACUCUGGCAGGUAUGUACAUGGUUAUAUAUUUUAAUUUUCUUUUUGUAUCCUUGGUUAAAAAAAAUUUGGGGGGGAGGUGCUAGGAUUCAAAGUGGGGGCUUUACACAUGCUAUAACCCAGGUGUAGAUGUGUCUUUUAUAUAUACUUUAGUUAGAGUUUUAAAACUCUGAUUACUUGAAAAUUCCUGAUUAACAAUUCUUUUAGACCAUUAUGUAUAAUGCAACUAGUAACAAAAUUGGAAUUUUAGCAACUUUUUUCUUCUGUAUUUGUUGCAUGUACCUUUUCUGUAAUGUUUUCACUGAAAAUUUUACCCAGUGCUUGAAAUUUAUGUACUCCAUUUACUAUUUAGUUGCUAUUCUAAAACAUUAAAUCCAGUUUU